rnacentral:rRNA from 1 species
AUUGAACGCUGGCGGAAUGCUUUACACAUGCAAGUCGAACGGCAGCACGGACUUCGGUCUGGUGGCGAGUGGCGAACGGGUGAGUAAUGUAUCGGAACGUGCCCAGUCGUGGGGGAUAACGUAGUGAAAAUUACGCUAAUACCGCAUACGAUCUAUGGAUGAAAGCGGGGGAUCGCAAGACAUCGCGCGAUUGGAGCGGCCGAUAUCAGAUUAGGUAGUUGGUGGGGUAAAGGCUCACCAAGCCAACGAUCUGUAGCUGGUCUGAGAGGACGACCAGCCACACUGGAACUGAGACACGGUCCAGACUCCUACGGGAGGCAGCAGUGGGGAAUUUUGGACAAUGGACGCAAGUCUGAUCCAGCCAUUCCGCGUGCAGGAUGAAGGCCCUCGGGUUGUAAACUGCAUUAGUACGGAACGAAAAGGUCUAGAGGAAUACGGGGGGCUCAUGACGGUACCGUAAGAAUAAGCACCGGCUAACGACGGGCCAGCAGCCGCCGUAA